AGUGAACGCUGGCGGUAGGCCUAACACAUGCAAGUCGAACGGCAGCACAGUAAGAGCUUGCUCUUACGGGUGGCGAGUGGCGGACGGGUGAGGAAUACAUCGGAAUCUACUUUUUCGUGGGGGAUAACGUAGGGAAACUUACGCUAAUACCGCAUACGACCUACGGGUGAAAGCAGGGGAUCUUCGGACCUUGCGCGAUUGAAUGAGCGGAUGUCGGAUUAGCUAGUUGGCGGGGUAAAGGCCCACCAAGGCGACGAUCCGUAGCUGGUCUGAGAGGAUGAUCAGCCACACUGGAACUGAGACACGGUCCAGACUCCUACGGGAGGCAGCAGUGGGGAAUAUUGGACAAUGGGGGCAAGCCUGAUCCAGCCAUACCGCGUGGGUGAAGAAGGCCUUCGGGUUGUAAAGCCCUUUUGUUGGGAAAGAAACGCAGCAGGUUAAUACCCCGCUGUUCUGACGGUACCCAAAGAAUAAGCACCGGCUAACUUCGUG
rnacentral:rRNA from 1 species